CCUGGGAACUGCGUUNUGAACUGGGUAGCUAGAGUAUGUCAGAGGGGGGUAGAAUUCCACGUGUAGCAGUGAAAUGCGUAGAGAUGUGGAGGAAUACCGAUGGCGAAGGCAGCCCCCUGGGAUAAUACUGACGUUCAUGCUCGAAAGCGUGGGUAGCAAACAGGAUUAGAUACCCUGGUAGUCCACGCCCUAAACGAUGUCGAUUAGCUGUUGGGCAACUUGAUUGCUUAGUAGCGUAGCUAACGCGUGAAAUCGACCGCCUGGGGAGUACGGUCGCAAGAUUAAAACUCAAAGGAAUUGACGGGGACCCGCACAAGCGGUGGAUGAUGUGGAUUAAUUCGAUGCAACGCGAAGAACCUUACCUGGUCUUGACAUGUACGGAAGAACUCAGAGACGAGUUUGUGCCUUCGGGAGCCGUAACACUGGUGCUGCAUGGCUGUCGUCAGCUCGUGUCGUGAGAUGUUGGGUUAAGUCCCGCAACGAGCGCAACCCUUGUCAUUAGUUGCCAUCAUUUAGUUGGGCACUCUAAUGAGACUGCCGGUGACAAACCGGAGGAAGGUGGGGAUGACGUCAAGUCCUCAUGGCCCUUAUGACCAGGGCUUCACACGUCAUACAAUGGUCGGUACAGAGGGUAGCCAAACCGCGAGGUGGAGCCAAUCCCAGAAAACCGAUCGUAGUCCGGAUUGCACUCUGCAACUCGAGUGCAUGAAGUCGGAAUCGCUAGUAAUCGCAGGUCAGCAUACUGCGGUGAAUACGUUCCCGGGUCUUGUACACACCGCCCGUCACACCAUGGGAGUGGGGGAUACCAGAAGUAGGUAGGGUAACCGCAAGGAGCCCGCUU
rnacentral:rRNA from 1 species